AUCACCGGCUAAGACCCUAAAUGAUUGCUUAGUGAUAAAGAAGGUAGAGGUGCAGAGAAAGUUAGGAGGUUUGCCAAGAAGUAGUUAUCCUUGAAAAGAGUGCGUAAUAGCUCACUGAUCGAGCGCUAUUAUGUUACAGAUAAAUGGAGCUAAGCGAUCUGUCGAUGUUGUGGGUUGUAAAAAUACAUC
rnacentral:ncRNA from 1 species